rnacentral:misc_RNA from 1 species
AGCAGCCGCGGUAAUUCCAGCUCCAAUAGCGUAUAUUAAAGUUGUUGCAGUUAAAAAGCUCGUAGUUGAAUUUCGGGAUCAAUACGUCGGUCGUGCUUCGGUACGUACUGGCGUAAUUGAUUUCUCCCUUCUGACGAACCAUGAUGUCAUUAACUUGGUGUCAUGGGAAAUCAGGACUGUUACUUUGAAAAAUUAGAGUGUUUAAAGCAGGCUCUACGCUUGAAUACAUUAGCAUGGAAUAAUGAAAUAGGACGUUCGAUCCUAUUUUGUUGGUUUUUAGGAUCAACGUAAUGAUUAAUAGGGAUAGUUGGGGGCAUUAGUAUUCAAUUGUCAGAGGUGAAAUUCUUGGAUUUAUUGAAGACUAACUACUGCGAAAGCAUUUGCCAAGGAUGUUUUCAUUAAUCAAGAACGAAAGUUAGGGG